rnacentral:rRNA from 1 species
UACAGAGGGUGCGAGCGUUAAUCGGAAUUACUGGGCGUAAAGGGUGCGUAGGUUGUAAUAUAAGUUAGAUGUGAAAUCCCUAGGCUUAACCUGGGAACUGCGUUUAAAACUGUAUAACUAGAGUACUGCAGAGGUUAGUGGAAUUUCCAGUGUAGCGGUGAAAUGCGUAGAUAUUGGAAGGAACACCAGUGGCGAAGGCGACUAACUGGGCAGCUACUGACACUGAGGCACGAAAGCGUGGGGAGCAAACAGG